rnacentral:rRNA from 1 species
ACUCCUACGGGAGGCAGCAGUAGGGAAUCUUCCACAAUGGACGAAAGUCUGAUGGAGCAACGCCGCGUGAGUGAAGAAGGGUUUCGGCUCGUAAAACUCUGUUGUUAAAGAAAGAACAUAUCUGAGAGUAACUGUUCAGGUAUUGACGGUAUUUAACCAGAAAGCCACGGCUAACUACGUGCCAGCAGCCGCGGUAAUACGUAGGUGGCAAGCGUUGUCCGGAUUUAUUGGGCGUAAAGCGAGCGCAGGCGGUUUUUAAGUCUGAUGUGAAAGCCUUCGGCUCAACCGAAGAAGUGCAUCGGAAACUGGGAAACUUGAGUGCAGAAGAGGACAGUGGAACUCCAUGUGUAGCGGUGAAAUGCGUAGAUAUAUGGAAGAACACCAGUGGCGAAGGCGGCUGUCUGGUCUGUAACUGACGCUGAGGCUCGAAAGUAU